GGCGGACGGGUGCGUAACGCGUAUGCAACCUGCCCUUCAGCGGGGGAUAACGUCCGGAAACGGGCGCUAAUACCGCUUGGUCUUGCGACUCCGCAUGGGGUUGUAAGUAAAGCCUUCGGGCACUGAAGGAUGGGCAUGCGUCAGAUUAGCUAGUUGGUGGGGUAAGGGCCCACCAAGGCGACGAUCUGUAGCUGGUCUGAGAGGAUGAUCAGCCACACUGGCACUGAGACACGGGCCAGACUCCUACGGGAGGCAGCAGUAGGGAAUAUUGGUCAAUGGGCGAAAGCCUGAACCAGCCACGCCGCGUGCGGGAAGACGGCCCACAGGGUUGUAAACCGCUUUUUUCGCAGAAUAAGCUAUUAUUUUGGUAAUAGUAGAAGGUAUGCGAAGAAUAAGCACCGGCAAACUACGUGCCAGCAGCCGCGGUAAUACGUAGGGUGCAAGCGUUGUCCGGAUUUACUGGGUUUAAAGGGUACGUAGGCGGCUAGCUAAGUCGGCGAUGAAAUACCGGAGCUUAACUCCGGUGCUGUUGCCGAUACUGGCGGGCUCGAGCGCGGAUGAGGUUGCUGGAAUAGACGGUGUAGCGGUGAUAUGCGUAGAGAUCGUCUGGAACACCCAUUGCGAAGGCAGGCAACUAGCCCGCGACUGACGCUGAGGUACGAAAGCGUGGGGAGCGAACAGGAUUAGAUACCCUGGUAGUCCACGCCCUAAACGAUGCACACUCGUUGUUCGCCCACUUGAGGGCGAGCGGCUGAGCGAAAGCGUUAAGUGUGCCACCUGGGAAGUACGCUCGCAAGGGUGAAACUCAAAGGAAUUGACGGAGGCCCGCACCAGCGGUGGAACAUGUGGUUUAAUUCGAUGCAACGCGAAGAACCUUACCUGGGCUUGACAUAUAUAUGGCGUAUGUAAGAAAUUAUGUAUUCUGCCUGCUUUUGCAGGUAGCAUAUAUACAGGUGAUGCAUGGCUGUCGUCAGCCCGUGUCGUGAGAUGUAGGGUUAAGUCCCUUAACGAGCGCAACCCUUGCUUUUAGUUGCCAUCAGGUAAUGCUGGGGACUCUAGAAGGACUGCCGAGGUUAACUCGGAGGAAGGUGGGGAUGACGUCAAGUCAGUAUGUCCCUUAUGUCCAGGGCUACACACGUGUUACAAUGGUCGGUACAGAGUGACGCUAAUCCACGAGGUGGCGCCAAUCACUUAAAGCCGAUCCCAGUUCGGAUUGGAGUCUGCAAUUCGACUCCAUGAAGUUGGAAUCGCUAGUAAUCGCAGAACAGCAUGCUGCGGUGAAUACGUUCCCGGGCCUUGUACACACCGCCCGUCACGCCAUGGAAGUUGGGAGUACCCGAAGUUGCUGUCCAUACGUU
rnacentral:rRNA from 1 species